rnacentral:rRNA from 1 species
AGUGAACGCUGGCGGUAGGCCUAACACAUGCAAGUCGAACGGCAGCACAGUAAGAGCUUGCUCUUACGGGUGGCGAGUGGCGGACGGGUGAGGAAUACAUCGGAAUCUACUUUUUCGUGGGGGAUAACGUAGGGAAACUUACGCUAAUACCGCAUACGACCUACGGGUGAAAGCAGGGGAUCUUCGGACCUUGCGCGAUUGAAUGAGCCGAUGUCGGAUUAGCUAGUUGGCGGGGUAAAGGCCCACCAAGGUGACGAUCCGUAGCUGGUCUGAGAGAAUGAUCAGCCACACUGGAACUGAGACACGGUCCAGACUCCUACGGGAGGCAGCAGUGGGGAAUAUUGGACAAUGGGCGCAAGCCUGAUCCAGCCAUACCGCGUGGGUGAAGAAGGCCUUCGGGUUGUAAAGCCCUUUUGUUGGGAAAGAAAAGCAGCAGGUUAAUACCCCGCUGUUCUGACGGUACCCAAAGAAUAAGCACCGGCUAACUUCGUG